rnacentral:rRNA from 1 species
GUCCACGCCGUAAACGUUGGGCACUAGGUGUGGGGCUCGAUCGACGGGCUCCGUGCCGUAGCUAACGCAUUAAGUGCCCCGCCUGGGAAGUACGGCCGCAAGGCUAAAACUCAAAGGAAUUGACGGGGGCCCGCACAAGCGGCGGAGCAUGUUGCUUAAUUCGAUGCAACGCGAAGAACCUUACCAAGGCUUGACAUGUACGGAAAAGCCGUAGAGAUACGGUGUCCUCGGGUCGGUACACAGGUGGUGCAUGGCUGUCGU